rnacentral:lncRNA from 1 species
CGAGUUCAUGCUUCUGCAAUCAUUCACUUCCCUGCCAAGAAGAAUGAUUUUCCAACCACUACUAACCAGCAAAUGCAGCAUGUUUCUGUGGCCAUAGGUCAAGCUGGAAAACAUUUUUCCAUAAAACCAUGUGCAAUUUCAUGCCACAGGUGAAAGAAUAGCCCAAAUCCACAAGUAAAUGCAUCGGUCAUUCUCCUUUGAUGAAAACCAGUUCAUGGACAAAUCAAAUGUAUGCUUCUCUCAUCUUAUGCAAUUCUAUGAAGAGUCACACAAAAAUGGAAUCCAGUUCUAGGAUAUCAAAGAAUCACCAAGUUAAAGGAGAAAUUGAGCUCUAAGGGAAAUAACUUCCUAUUGAAACAACAACAAAAAAUCUGAAGUCCAAGGAGAAAAAAAUAACCUUUAGUAAUUGCCUUGUUAUUGUUCAGUUUA